rnacentral:rRNA from 1 species
GAUGAACGCUGGCGGCGUGCCUAAUACAUGCAAGUCGAGCGAACAGACGAGGAGCUUGCUCCUCUGACGUUAGCGGCGGACGGGUGAGUAACACGUGGAUAACCUACCUAUAAGACUGGGAUAACUUCGGGAAACCGGAGCUAAUACCGGAUAAUAUAUUGAACCGUAUGGUUCAAUAGUGAAAGACGGUUUUGCUGUCACUUAUAGAUGGAUCCGCGCCGCAUUAGCUAGUUGGUAAGGUAACGGCUUACCAAGGCAACGAUGCGUAGCCGACCUGAGAGGGUGAUCGGCCACACUGGGACUGAGACACGGUCCAGACUCCUACGGGAGGCAGCAGUAGGGAAUCUUCCGCAAUGGGCGAAAGCCUGACGGAGCAACGCCGCGUGAGUGAUGAAGGUCUUCGGAUCGUAAAACUCUGUUAUUAGGGAAGAACAAAUGUGUAAGUAACUAUGCACGUCUUGACGGUACCUAAUCAGAAAGCCACGGCUAACUACGUG